UAAGGUCAUCAGAGAAUGGAUUCUGCAGAAGCAGAUGCUGAAAUACUUUGGUGGGCAGGGCUCAACAUCUCCAGGGACAGGGCAGGGCAGAAGCAAGGAGCUAAAAAAACUGGAUCUCACAAAAGUAAAGAGCAGACUGAUGGUAACCAGAGGCUGUGAAUGGAAGGGGAAAGGGAAGGGAUGCAAGGGAAAAAAAGAAGGACAGGACUAAGAGAAAGGCAGAGAUUCAUGGCUUUUUAAAAUGGUAUUUAUGGUUAUUCCCUCCUCCACCUCAUCCCUAACUUACCGGAAGACAAAAUGACAUGGGAAGAAGAGGAAAGUUGUUAGAAGGGGAGCUCUAGACAGCCAGGAAAGCUGGAGUCACAAGUGGACAAGGAGACCCAUGGAAGCGACUCAUGAUAGAAAUGGUUCUCCUUUGGUCAUCUGCAAACUUUACCCAACAAUGGUAUCUCCUGGUAUCGUAUGAAAUAAAACCAGAAGUCUGGUAUUUUGGUCCCAGCUGUUAAGACUUCUGCCUGGAUUAAGCCUUCUUUUCCAUCUCUCUGAGGGGCCACCCUGCUCAGAUUUCUCACACUUGGGCAACCUGCCUUGAUAUGUGAAUCUUACUUAGGAAAACAGACAAUUUUCUCUGGUCACUAUCUCAGCCCACAAGGGAGAUUUAGCAUUUUUAGUCGACCCUCUUC
rnacentral:lncRNA from 1 species